CCUACGGGAGGCAGCAGUGAGGAAUAUUGGUCAAUGGCCGGAAGGCUGAACCAGCCAUGCCGCGUGAAGGUCAGUGCCCUAUGGGCGUUAAACUUCUUUUGUGCGGGAGCAAUAAUGGUCACGUGUGGCCAGACGAGAGUACCGUACGAAUAAGCAUCGGCUAACUCCGUUCCAGCAGCCGCGGUAAUACGGGGGAUGCAAGCGUUAUCCGGAUUUAUUGGGUUUAAAGGGUGCGUAGGCUGUGAGUUAAGUCAGCGGUGAAAUGCCCCCGCUCAACGGGGUGAAGUGCAAUUGAUACUGCCUGGCUGGAAUGCGGAUGCCGAGGGAGGAAUGUGGGGUGUAGCGGUGAAAUGCAUGGAUAUCACACAGAACACCGAUUGCGAAGGCAUCUCACGAAUCCGCGAUUGACGCUGAUGCACGAAAGCGUGGGUAUCAAACAGGAUUAGAUCCCCUGUAGUC
rnacentral:rRNA from 1 species